UGCUACAGGCUUAACACAUGCAAGUCGAGGGGCAGCAUGGUCUUAGCUUGCUAAGGCCGAUGGCGACCGGCGCACGGGUGAGUAACACGUAUCCAACCUGCCGUCUACUCUUGGACAGCCUUCUGAAAGGAAGAUUAAUACAAGAUGGCAUCAUGAGUCCGCAUGUUCACAUGAUUAAAGGUAUUCCGGUAGACGAUGGGGAUGCGUUCCAUUAGAUAGUAGGCGGGGUAACGGCCCACCUAGUCUUCGAUGGAUAGGGGUUCUGAGAGGAAGGUCCCCCACAUUGGAACUGAGACACGGUCCAAACUCCUACGGGAGGCAGCAGUGAGGAAUAUUGGUCAAUGGGCGAGAGCCUGAACCAGCCAAGUAGCGUGAAGGAUGACUGCCCUAUGGGUUGUAAACUUCUUUUAUAAAGGAAUAAAGUCGGGUAUGGAUACCCGUUUGCAUGUACUUUAUGAAUAAGGAUCGGCUAACUCCGUGCCAGCAGCCGCGGUAAUACGGAGGAUCCGAGCGUUAUCCGGAUUUAUUGGGUUUAAAGGGAGCGUAGAUGGAUGUUUAAGUCAGUUGUGAAAGUUUGCGGCUCAACCGUAAAAUUGCAGUUGAUACUGGAUAUCUUGAGUGCAGUUGAGGCAGGCGGAAUUCGUGGUGUAGCGGUGAAAUGCUUAGAUAUCACGAAGAACUCCGAUUGCGAAGGCAGCCUGCUAAGCUGCAACUGACAUUGAGGCUCGAAAGUGUGGGUAUCAAACAGGAUUAGAUACCCUGGUAGUCCACACGGUAAACGAUGAAUACUCGCUGUUUGCGAUAUACUGCAAGCGGCCAAGCGAGAGCGUUAAGUAUUCCACCUGGGGAGUACGCCGGCAACGGUGAAACUCAAAGGAAUUGACGGGGGCCCGCACAAGCGGAGGAACAUGUGGUUUAAUUCGAUGAUACGCGAGGAACCUUACCCGGGCUUAAAUUGCAGAUGAAUUACGGUGAAAGCCGUAAGCCGCAAGGCAUCUGUGAAGGUGCUGCAUGGUUGUCGUCAGUUCGUGCCGUGAGGUGUCGGCUUAAGUGCCAUAACGAGCGCAACCCUUGUUGUCAGUUACUAACAGGUUCCGCUGAGGACUCUGACAAGACUGCCAUCGUAAGAUGUGAGGAAGGUGGGGAUGACGUCAAAUCCGCACGGCCCUUACGUCCGGGGCUACACACGUGUUACAAUGGGGGGUACAGAGGGCCGCUACCACGCGAGUGGAUGCCAAUCCCCAAAACCUCUCUCAGUUCGGACUGGAGUCUGCAACCCGACUCCACGAAGCUGGAUUCGCUAGUAAUCGCGCAUCAGCCACGGCGCGGUGAAUACGUUCCCGGGCCUUGUACACACCGCCCGUCAAGCCAUGGGAGCCGGGGGUACCUGAAGUGCGUAACCGCGAGGAGCGCCCUAGGGUAAAACUGGUGACUG
rnacentral:rRNA from 1 species